CUCGCUGAAGCUGUUUGCACGAUCGCCGUCCCUCCCCCAGCUGCCCACCUUCAGCAAAUGUUUAGAAAUUAAAUAUUUUUUUUUCAAACCUCGGCCUGGCCUGUCACCAGCUUUGUCAGAAUUUGGCCAGCAGCCUCGAAGGUUACGGGGGGGAUUUACGCGCGUGGCCGCGUGCCCGCCCCUACCUACGCAGGGCCACUGCGUCUGCUUCGCUUCUUUAGAAAACCGAGCUAAAAAAAGCUGCCACCGUUGCUCGUGGCACAGCCCUGUCUUACGCCAUGUUCUUGUGUGGGCGCUUUUGCCUGAGCAAGGCGAGAGGAAAGAGCGAGUGAUUUCAGGAUGCCACAAUAAAACUGAUGGAUUCUUCCCCGGGGCUGUGCCGGAUUGCGAUUUCUGACACAUCAGCUGUGGAAAUCCAGGGUAAUUUUGCUGAAGCCAUUCCGGAUAUCCGCUUGUGUAAAUGAGACCGGGAUCUGGCCUGACUGCUUUAAAGAAACGCUGCCCAGUCAUUUAGCUCCAGGAUGCACGACUUUGCCUUCUGCUGCUUUUAGCAAACAUUAUAUGCAGUAUUUGUACAAGGCAUUUCUUCAUUUUAAAUGAAAAGUCUCUUUUUUUAGAAACGCUUGCGCAGCAUUGGAAACCACGGUGUUUCUUUCAGCGAAAGAGUUCGUGAGACCCCCGGGAAGCUGGGGAGCCGAUCCACCUCUCUGCGCCUGCUGGGAAGGUGGCGGCGUGGUCGGGACCGACCCUGCUGCGCGGCUCCUGCAGCGCUCGCAGGCUGACUGAUGUAAGGCACUAACAUUAGCACAGGCUGAAACGGGGACGGCUGUUGCAGCCCUUUCUCCCAGAUGUGACCCUCACCCGGGUAAGUGGCUCCCUGGGUUUCUCCUGGCGGAGCAACCGCCUUGGCCCCAGCAUCCAGGCUGCUCUCCCAGGUGUCGUUGCAGGCUUUCCGUGUCGGAGCGCCUUGCCAGCCCGGAGAGCGAACGCUCUGGCAGCAGCAGGGUGUAGGAGCGUGUUGUGUCCACGUGUUGUCUCGUCGCAUUAACGUUACACGACGGCCUCCUGCCGCGCUGGAGAAGCGUUCGGGAGGGUGCGGAGCCAGAGCGCACUCCCAAAUGCAGCCCGCUGAACUGCCCCAUCCGCCCUCCCCGCUGCAGGCUUGUAGACAACUUGUGUACAUGCGGUCCGGAUGCAGACCCUGUGGACCCGUGUGUCUAAUCAAAGCAGACAACGGCACAACUCAGACCUUGCAUAUUUCAAGGAAAUAUUCAUAAGUCUAGGAGGGAGUAAGCUGGGGUGAACAUCACUUCAUACGAAUCUGAAUAUAUCCCAUAUCGCUCUCAGCAACAUGUAGAUGGCUCAGAAAAUUCAGAAGGUGGCCUGUGCUUGUCAAGAAAUUUCCCGCUGCUUUGACUCUAAGGACAAUAAUGAUGGCAUUUGCCCAUGUUCUCAUUACUGUCUCACUUCUCAUUUAAUUAGCAAAUUCCCAAAAUUUUAGGGCUUAACUCCAUAUUUACCCCGUGUGGAAGCAGGUGACUUCCUAGAGAGGCUGAGGAACGCCAGCUCCCACUGGAGUUGGUGUGAGCGGGGGGUGCUCAGCUUCUUGAUAAGUGAGGCAGGUUCUCGCUUAGCUACUUAAUAUGGACUUAAGUGCUGAACAUUAAAAACACCUUCAUUGGAUGAUGUUAGUCUCUAUUUUUAAAUUGAUUCCUUUGAAGACCUAUAGGUUAGGAAAGGGAAGGAAAAUUGGUAAUGGAGCAAAAAUGACUGUGAUUUAGAGAUUGAAUUGCACACAGC
ensembl:lncRNA